rnacentral:rRNA from 1 species
CGUAGUGACCUGCGGAGGAUCAUUAAUGAUAUAAAUUGUCUUACCUUCAGUGCUGGCUCUUACAAGGGCAUGUGCACGUUGGAAGGCAUAUAUCCAACACCCUCUUGUGAACCAUUGGCCUUUGCUGGCUUCGGCUGGUCGAGGAUUUACACAAACACGAAUGUAAUGAAAUAAUGUUGUGCUCAGCACUAAUAUACAACUUUCAACAACGGAUCUCUUGGCUCUCGCAUCGAUGAAGAACGCAGCGAAAUGCGAUAAGUAAUGUGAAUUGCAGAAUUCAGUGAAUCAUCGAAUCUUUGAACGCACCUUGCACCCUUUGGUAUUCCGAAGGGUAUGCUCGUUUGAGUGUCAUUAUACUCUCACACUCUCUGAUUAGAGAGCGGUGGACGUGGAUGUUGCCUGGUGCUUGUUGUCAGGCUCAUCUGAAAUGAGUUAGUACGACUCCUAGUUAAACAUAGUACGGCGUUAUAACUAAACCCUCGCUGUUUUUUUGUCUGAUUAGGAGCCUUGUGCUUCGAACCGUCUUCGGACAAUAUCUGAUAACUUGACCUCAAAUCGAGUAGGAUUACCCGCUGAACUUAAGCAUAUCAAUAAGCGGAGGAAAAGAAACUAACAAGGAUUCCCCUAGUAACGGCGAGUGAAGAGGGAAAAGCUCAAAUUUUGAAUCUGGCGUCUUUGGCGUCCG